CACCCUGUUUGAGGUAGCAUACCGCAUGCCCUUGCCCUUGCCUAAGAAUGGCCAAAUGUGGCACUGGCUCAGAGACGGCAAGGUUCCCUAUCUGUCCACGCUGAGCAAGGCAUUCAACGAGCUUAUAGCCCAAAUGAUGCACCCAGAUCCGGACUAGAGGCCUACAUCACAGUCCAUAAUUAGCCAUCCAUUUCUAAGCUCAAUUGUAAUCAAGUGCAAUCAGCAUAUCGACCUGGAGCUGACAAUGGAAAAGCCUAAGAACGAGAUCCUAUUGAACAGGCUGCAGAAGGCAAGGGAAAAAAUCAAAAUAUUCGA